GUCUCGAACUCCUGACCUCAGGUGAUCCACCCACCUCAGCCUCCCAAAAUGCUGAGAUUAGCGGUAUCUUUUAAGUAAUGCCAGUAAUUGAGAACUAGGUCCAUCGUCAUUAAUGGGGGUCGUGCUUUCUACUUUCAGGACAAGUCUAUCAUUGUGCAGGGGCCUCAGCUUCCUGUGUUGGAAAUGAGUUAAUGUAGUCACACUAUGACACGCUAUUUUUAUUCCUUACCCAGAUCAGCCAUAUUCUAACAAUACAUUUCAAAGUACUGCUGACGGAGGCUCCACCUGAAACCUGUUCUCUCAGAUAACCAGAGAUAAACUGUUCCUGCUGCAAAGUAAUUAAUAUCAGUCGCCUGGAAAGCAGAAAUUGGGAGACAACAGGCUCCUCUUUCUUGAUAAACAGAUUGUUGGGUUUCCUUUGGGAGGGGAAGGAAUAACCUUGAAGAGAGGUGAGAAUUGUCAUGGAUUUUGUGUGACUUGUUACUCAAGAUGACUCAUUAAGCUGCCAAGAGCCUCACAGCCCAUCCAAACUUCUCAAACAACCCCUUCAAUUCCAGCCCUUGACCUGAUCUAUGUAGAGGGUUGGAAAAUUCACAGCAAUACAAAGCUAUGGAAACAGACUGUCAUCCACAUAUAUGUUGGGUGAUGGGGGAGACAUGAAGAGUGAGAGACUGUGGAGACAGGAAAGUAGCAACAUUUGCCAUGAGAUUUUCCUCGAAACCAUCUCCUUCUUGAAUUUAGACACUCAUUGUUUAUGUGCAGUGGCCCUAGGUACAGAAGGGUCACCACCCCAAGGAGAACUAUACCCUCCGGACUCAUAAACCAAAUUCUAGCCAGAUUCUCCCGGAAUAAAAUACUACAGUUCAUCCAUUAAGCUAAAUCUCCUUUCAACAAUUCCCUUCUUACCUGGCCCAUGAAAUGAAUAAUGAAGAGAUUAUUUUCUGGGCAAAUUGGUAGAAAAAUCCUGAUGCAGACAGUUCCCCUUCUGAUUGCACCUGACUUCCAUUCAUUGACUAUCACAUCAAGUAGUGGUUCUGGGAAUUCAAAGGAGAGCUCAGCAAAAGAAGAAGAAAAAAAAGCCCACAAAGUUUUUCAAGGUACCUACUGCAGUUAUCAGUUCAUAGAUCUAAAUGUUCGCACUGUAUGCUUGAUUUGCACAUUCCAAACCAAUUUGGUAAUUUUUUUCAUUUUUAUCUACACGCAUGAAGUGAUUUGGAAUACUGAAACAAUUUAGAAUCAUAUUUCGUUUGCAACAGUUCAAUUAACUUAAGUGCUGGAACAUGCUCUCCAACUGGUAACUAGUUUAAUUGGUUACUAUUACAAGAAAUAAAUUCUAUAGUCCUGGGGCCUCCCAGUGUCCUUUCUAGACAGGGCCCGGCCAUGCAGAGGUAUGUGGGAGUGGGAAGGUGAGGAGUGUAGCAAAAUUUCUUACUUAAAAAAGAAAAAUCCAAGAACCCAUUCUCUUAAUAACUAGGUAUGAGUUUCCAUUUUCUGCUGUGAUUUUAUGACCUCCAGUUCCCUUGGAUCAACUUUACAACCACUCAAUAAGCAAGAGAAGGGUGUGGAUCAAGGGUCGAAGACUUUUAAAGCUAUUGCAUAAAUGCACUUAAGCAUGAGCCAAAGUGAUAAAUAGGAAACCAAGACGCAUGUCAGGAAUGCAGCAAAGAAUGAGUAGCUGGGACACUUUGAGCAGCUGUUAAGGCAACUCCAAACCCCUGGAAAGAAGGAUUUCCUUCUGGCUUACACCAAGGCUCAAUUGCUCUAGUUGCAUUUGCAUUGAAAGGCACUACUGCCAAAUUGUACAAGAACACUUAUAGUAGAAAAACAUGUAAAUUGUCAAAAGAUACAAAAUAAUACUGCAUCUCAUUUGUGGAUAUACGGAAAUGUAGUUAAAGAGAAAAAGUGAGUAGGCAUAACACAUACUAACUAUUGGGGAGAGAAUGCUACUGAGGAAGAAAGGAGAAUAAAGGGAUAGGUAUGUGAUUUAAGUGCAAUCUUAAGCAUAUUGAAUAAAAUAUUAACAUCUCAUAAAGCUGGGUAUGAGAUACAUGGGGCUCAAUUCUAUUAUUUUAUGCACUUUCAUGUUUAUUUGAAAUGAUUUCUAAUUAAAAGUUAGAAACACUUAAAAAAAGAAUCAGUCCCUGUUUCGCAGCCAUUGGCAAACCAGUCAUUUCUCAAAAAAUUCUUCUGUCUUAAGAUCACAAACUCUGGAGGCAUCACGCUACCUGACUUCAAACUAUACUACAAGGCUACAGUAACCAAAACAGCAUGGUACUGGUACCAAAACAGAGAUAUAGAUCAAUGGAACAGAACAGAGCCCUCAGAAAUAAUGCUGCAUAUGCAUAUCUACAACUAUCAUCUGAUCUUUGACAAACCUGAGAAAAACAAGCAAUGGGGAAAGGAUUCCCUAUUUAAUAAAUGGUGCUGGGAAAACUGGCUAGCCAUAUGU
rnacentral:lncRNA from 1 species